rnacentral:rRNA from 1 species
UACGGAGGAUGCAAGCGUUAUCCGGAAUGAUUGGGCGUAAAGCGUCCGCAGGUGGCAAUGUAAGUCUGCUGUCAAAGCGUCUGGCUCAACCAGAUAAAGGCAGUGGAAACUACAUAGCUAGAGUAAGGUAGGGGUAGAGGGAAUUCCUGGUGUAGCGGUGAAAUGCGUAGAGAUCAGGAAGAACACCAGUGGCGAAGGCGCUCUACUAGGCCGUGACUGACACUGAGAGACGAUAGCUAGGGGAGCGAAUAGG